rnacentral:rRNA from 1 species
CUAAAAAAGGAGAGUUUGAUCAUGGCUAGAAGGCCUGCGGCGGGCCUAACACAUGCAAGUCGCACGAGAAAGGCCUGCUUGCAGGGGCGAGUAAAGUGGCGCACGGGUGAGUAACGCGUGGUUAAUCUACCCUUGGGUUUCGGAAAAAUGAACCCGAAAGGGGCGCUAAUACCGGAUAAGACCACGGUGUCCACGGGCACUGGGGUAAAAGUGGGCCUCUACAUGUAAGCUCAUGCCUGAGGAUGAGACCGCGUCCCAUUAGCUUGUUGGUGAGGUAACGGCUCACCAAGGCCGCGAUGGGUAGCUGAUCUGAGAGGAUGAUCAGCCACACUGGGACUGGAACACGGCCCAGACUCCUACGGGAGGCAGCAGUGGUUUUUCUUGCGCAAUGGGGGAAACCCUGAUGUUGGGCGCGGCCGCGUGGGUGAAGAAGGCCUUCGGGUUGUAAAAGCCCUGUCAGGUGGGAAAGAACCGCAAUCUGGCCGAUACCUUGAACUGCUUGACGGACCAACCAAAGGAAGCACCGGCUAAACUUCCGUGCCAGCARCCGCGGGAAAUACGGAGGGUGCAGGCGUUGUUUCGGGAUUACUUGGGCGUAAAAGCGCGGUGAAGGCGGAACGGUAAAUUUGGAAGUGAAAAGCCCUGGGCUCAACCCAAGAAGUGGUUUCCCAAACUUGGCCGGGCCUUGAUUUCCGGAAAAGGGUGGUGGGAAUUCCCCGGUGUAUAGAGUGAAAUUCCGAAAAAAUCGGGGAGGAAAUACCAC